CUGUGCACAGUGACCACAAACAGUAGCCUCCCUGGUGGUGCACGCAGCCAGUUGUUUUUUUUUUUUUUUGGUUGCCGCAGGGACCUUGGAGACAGCU
rnacentral:snoRNA from 1 species